rnacentral:rRNA from 1 species
GAUGAACGCUGGCGGCGUGCCUAAUACAUGCAAGUCGAGCGAACAGACGAGGAGCUUGCUCCUCUGACGUUAGCGGCGGACGGGUGAGUAACACGUGGAUAACCUACCUAUAAGACUGGGAUAACUUCGGGAAACCGGAGCUAAUACCGGAUAAUAUAUUGAACCGCAUGGUUCAAUAGUGAAAGACGGUUUUGCUGUCACUUAUAGAUGGAUCCGCGCCGCAUUAGCUAGUUGGUAAGGUAACGGCUUACCAAGGCGACGAUGCGUAGCCGACCUGAGAGGGUGAUCGGCCACACUGGAACUGAGACACUGUCCAGACUCCUACGGGAGGCAGCAGUAGGGAAUCUUCCGCAAUGGGCGAAAGCCUGACGGAGCAACGCCGCGUGAGUGAUGAAGGUCUUCGGAUCGUAAAACUCUGUUAUUAGGGAAGAACAAAUGUGUAAGUAACUAUGCACGUCUUGACGGUACCUAAUCAGAAAGCCACGGCUAACUACGUG